rnacentral:tRNA from 1 species
GGGAGCGGGUCGGGUCUGGUGACCCGAGCGGUCUUCAAAACCGUCUAGCCCGGCUGAACCCCGGGCCGGUGGGUUCGAUUCCCACACGCUCCCGCCA